GCGCCCAUAGCUCAACUGGAUAGAGCGUCUGGCUACGGACCAGAAGGUUGUGGAUUCGAGUUCUGCUGGGCGCACCA
rnacentral:tRNA from 1 species